rnacentral:sRNA from 1 species
CUUGAUGAGCAAUGCAGAAGUUUGCAAGCAGGCUUCGAUUAAGGUUCGACUUGAGCGAAAGCAUGUCAACGGCAACGGCCCGUAGGGUGAGGAGCGAAGCGACGAAUAAUCCUUCCCCCACCACCA